UACGUAGGGGGCAAGCGUUGUCCGGAUUUAUUGGGCGUAAAGAGCGUGUAGGCGGUUUUACAGGUCCGCUGUGAAAACUCGAGGCUCAACCUCGAGACGUCGGUUGAAACCGUUUGGCUAGAGUCCGGAAGAGGAGAGUGGAAUUCCCGGUGUAGCGGUGAAAUGCGCAGAUAUCGGGAAGAACACCCGUGGCGAAGGCGGCUCUCUGGGACGGUACUGACGCUGAGACGCGAAAGCGUGGGGGAGCCGAAACAGGG
rnacentral:rRNA from 1 species